rnacentral:rRNA from 1 species
UACGAAGGGGGCUAGCGUUGCUCGGAAUCACUGGGCGUAAAGCGCACGUAGGCGGGUCCUUAAGUCGGGGGUGAAAUCCCGGAGCUCAACUCCGGAACUGCCUUCGAUACUGGGGACCUCGAGUCCGGGAGAGGUGAGUGGAACUGCGAGUGUAGAGGUGAAAUUCGUAGAUAUUCGCAAGAACACCAGUGGCGAAGGCGGCUCACUGGCCCGGUACUGACGCUGAGGUGCGAAAGCGUGGGGAGCAAACAGG